UACGAGCGGCCCAACCGUUAUUCGGAAUUACUGGGCUUAAAGAGUUCGUAGGCGGCAUGAAAAGUAGGGUGUGAAAGCCCUCGGCUCAACCGAGGAAUUGCGCUCUAAACUGUCGUGCUCGAGGAACCUAGAGGUGAGCAGAACUGAUGGUGGAGCGGUGAAAUGCGUUGAUAUCAUCAGGAAUACCGGAGGCGAAGGCGGCUCACUGGGGGUUUUCUGACGCUGAGGAACGAAAGCCAGGGGAGCGAACGGG
rnacentral:rRNA from 1 species